AAAGGUAAAGUAUCUACUGUGACCUGCAAAGUUUGCAGUGUGUCUAUGUUCAAAAUUCCAUUCUUUAAUUUAAUUGCUAUUUAACUAAAAAAAAAUUUAUAUGUUUAUGGGAUGCAUAACCAUUUGAUUUAUUUUCUUUAGAAAUUAAAAUUUUAUAAGGAUUCAAAUCAAUUAUUUUUUUUAUUACUUCUUAUAUUUAUAACAAAAGAAUUUAAUUUU
rnacentral:misc_RNA from 1 species